AGCAGCCGCGGUAAUUCCAGCUCCAAUAGCGUAUAUUAAAGUUGUUGCAGUUAAAAAGCUCGUAGUUGAAUUUCGGGGUCAGUAGAUUGGUCAUGCCUCUGGUAUGUACUGGUCUUACUGGCUCCUCCUUCCUGAUGAACCGUAAUGCCAUUAAUUUGGUGUUGCGGGGAGACUGGACUGUUACUUUGAAAAAUUAGAGCGUUUAAAGCAGGCUAACGCUUGAAUACAUUAGCAUGGAAUAAUGAAAUAGGACGUUCGAUCUUAUUUUGUUGGUUUCUAAGAUUGACGUAAUGAUUAAUAGGGAUAGUUGGGGGCAUUAGUAUUCAAUUGUCAGAGGUGAAAUUCUUGGAUUUAUUGAAGACUAACUACUGCGAAAGCAUUUGCCAAGGAUGUUUUCAUUAAUCAAGAACGAAAGUUAGGAGAUCGAAGACGAUCAGAUACCGUCGUAGUCUUAACCAUAAACUAUGCCGACUAGGGAUCGGAUGAUGUUAAUUUUUAAUGA
rnacentral:rRNA from 1 species